UUUAUAUAUUACUGUAGAGAUUAGAUUCCCUCAGAGGAGCUCAGUGCAGGUGUGAGUUGGUACCUGGGUGAGUCGUGUCUCUGGAAACCGGUGAGCGUUGGACUAAACAGGAGGCUCCAGAGAAAUUGAAGCAAAAGGGACAAAGCUGUGUGACAGAAAAAUGUUUUUCCGCAUCCCUCGACUAACCCCUGGAUAUAUUAGAUACCUUCAGGUCAUGUCUUGGAUUGAUGCUAAACUCUAAGAUGACUUCAAAUCCUGGCCCAACUGAAACAAAGAAAAAGCCAUGGGUUGGUUGAAUAUGACCUCAAACUUGACAAAAAUGGAAAUUUUAGCAAGGCUCUUCCCUUUUGGAAAGACCCUUGCUGGCAUGAGACAGACUCAGGCAGCUCAGACUGUACUGCAGAGCCGCGACGGUCCUGCCACGCCGUGCAUGGCCAUCCUGCUCGGCCUCAUAGGGGUUGGCGUGUCUGGCUACAGCUCCCGCCAACUCACACUGCACUACAAGCCAUCAAGGAACCUCUUCAGAUGAGACGAGAGAUGGAGGCUUUUUUAUUCUUCUUUACAUGUAUUUACUUCAGCUGUUUUUGACAAAUGCUACAUCUUUCCUGGCUUUUGUAAGUUGCCGACAUCAGUGGAGAUUCCAGGAUGUUAAACUUUUUACUCUCAGCUAAGCUGCUUGUUGUUUAGCUUAAUUUUAAAUUAGGUUGUAAGAUCUUAAAACUGAAACUCAAGGCAGAAAAUACAUCCAAAACUAAUAGAAGUGAUGCUUUCAGAUUCCCGUGUGGGAUUUUAAUCCCGUUCAUGUGGUUCAGGUUCAAAGUCAUGUCCGUUCUUGUAUUUUAUUGUGUGAGUUGAGGAAGUUGUUGCCUUAAGGGUGUGUAAAAUCUGAAAGAGCUCCUACUUAUACCUCCUCUGUUAAGAAAUUGGAGUAUUUGUAUUUAACGUUCAGCAGAAAGGCAGCUGUUUCUUUUUGAACCUGACAGAUGUUGCACUUGGACCACAUGUCCCACCCCUCCUUACCCCGUGCCUUAUCAUGGGAGUAUAUUGGCCCCGAACAAGUAUUUACUUGCGAAAUUCAUCACAUUUUAGUAAUUUUCUCGAGUGCGUCAGCUCCGUAAAGAUAGCUGAGCCAGCAUCAGGGAAUCUGCUCCAAAAUCCUUCAUCUUUUAAUCAUCCCCUGCUUCUCCUUUGGUGCUUUGGUCAUUUUCAUUAUGUAACUGAAGUCAUUUUCUUUUCUGCUUUAGGAGGGUCAUUUAGAAACGCGAGAAUCUCGAGAAAAAUAUUAAAAAGAACACAUAAAGAUAUGAGAAAAGCAACUUUUGCACUUUUUUUGUACAAUAUCUGUAAAUAAACAUGCACGUGUCACUUGGAUGCUGUAUGAGAUUAGUAAUCCAGGACAUGGUGUGCGACCAGCUUGUGUUGUGAGCUGGACUGGGUGACAUCCAGCUGGAUAGACGCGCAGCACUGCUGUGAUGUUGUCAGGCACAGGGGCCAGGACAGCCACCCUGGACACCAUCUGGAUCAACAUGUGAAUCCACCCGGAUCUCUCCCAGUUGCACACACUUGUCAUCAGUUAAAAUGCUGUUAGAUAAAUGACCACCUUGGUCUCCUAACACGCUGUAUUUUUAAUUUGCACUGUGACUUUAUAUGAAGUAAAACAACUUUGACAGCACAUGAAUGUAUUAUGUAAAGUUUAAAAAAAGCGGUUGUUUUGCCCCAUCCCUGAAAAAGCAAUGAAAGUUUAUGACAAGAGAAUAAUUAGGAAAGAUAAAAACAGGUCACAAGACAAGAGCAGUGAUGUAUUAAUCCCCUCUUGAUCCUCUUAAGAUAAAAGUCUUAUUUUGAGACCUGCUCACUUUUAAAGGUCAGGGAUGCACAUCAACAAACGCAUUUAGGAUAUUUUUGAAGCUAUAAGAUGUUGGACAUAUUUAAUCAAUGAUUUCAUUAUGCUUUUAAGGAUUUAAAUGAAAUUAUUAAUUGCUUACUGUCAGAAAAUGGUGGAUUUAGGACAUGGGAUGUCCUAACAUCACCGUGAGGAAGAAAAAUACUGCAUUGUGAGAUUGUAACGUUUGCUUUGUCGAUGCUUAUCAUGUUAAUGUUCAUGUAAGCUUAAAAAAUAUUUUUCAGUACCAUUACAGAAAAUUAUUAUAAUUUUUUAGAACUGAUGAAGGCUUUCAUAUCAUAUGAAUGUUUGUUUUUAAUGUAACUUUUCUGUAAAUAUUAAUAAAGCGGUCAAACCUUG